GCCUGCGGAAGGAUCAUUACCGAGUUUUCGAGCUCCGGCUCGACUCUCCCACCCUUUGUGAACGUACCUCUGUUGCUUUGGCGGCUCCGGCCGCCAAAGGACCUUCAAACUCCAGUCAGUAAACGCAGACGUCUGAUAAACAAGUUAAUAAACUAAAACUUUCAACAACGGAUCUCUUGGUUCUGGCAUCGAUGAAGAACGCAGCGAAAUGCGAUAAGUAAUGUGAAUUGCAGAAUUCAGUGAAUCAUCGAAUCUUUGAACGCACAUUGCGCCCCUUGGUAUUCCGGGGGGCAUGCCUGUUCGAGCGUCAUUACAACCCUCAAGCUCUGCUUGGAAUUGGGCACCGUCCUCACUGCGGACGCGCCUCAAAGACCUCGGCGGUGGCUGUUCAGCCCUCAAGCGUAGUAGAAUACACCUCGCUUUGGAGCGGUUGGCGUCGCCCGCCGGACGAACCUUCUGAACUUUUCUCAAGGUUGACCUCGGAUCAGGUAGGGAUACCCGCUGAACUUAAGCAUAUCAA
rnacentral:rRNA from 1 species